rnacentral:rRNA from 1 species
CAACCUGCCCACCCCUUGGGGAUAACCUUGCGAAAGUAAGACUAAUACCCAAUGACGUCUCUAGAAGACAUCUGAAAGAGAUUAAAGAUUUAUCGGUGAUGGAUGGGGAUGCGUCUGAUUAGCUUGUUGGCGGGGUAACGGCCCACCAAGGCAACGAUCAGUAGGGGUUCUGAGAGGAAGGUCCCCCACAUUGGAACUGAGACACGGUCCAAACUCCUACGGGAGGCAGCAGUGAGGAAUAUUGGUCAAUGGGCGAGAGCCUGAACCAGCCAAGUAGCGUGCAGGAUGACGGCCCUAUGGGUUGUAAACUGCUUUUAUAAGGGAAUAAAGUGAGAGUCGUGACUCUUUUUGCAUGUACCUUAUGAAUAAGGACCGGCUAAUUCCGUGCCAGCAGCCGCGGUAAUACGGAAGGUCCGGGCGUUAUCCGGAUUUAUUGGGUUUAAAGGGAGCGUAGGCCGGAGAUUAAGCGUGUUGUGAAAUGUAGACGCUCAACGUCUGCACUGCAGCGCGAACUGGUUUCCUUGAGUACGCACAAAGUGGGCGGAAUUCGUGGUGUAGCGGUGAAAUGCUUAGAUAUCACGAAGAACUCCGAUU